rnacentral:rRNA from 1 species
UACGGGGGGGGGCUAGCGUUGCUCGGAAUCACUGGGCGUAAAGCGCACGUAGGCGGAUUGUUAAGUCAGGGGUGAAAUCCCGGAGCUCAACCCUGGAACUGCCUUUGAUACUGUCGAUCUGGAGUAUGGAAGAGGUGAGUGGAAUUCCGAGUGUAGAGGUGAAAUUCGUAGAUAUUCGGAGGAACACCAGUGGCGAAGGCGGCUCACUGGUCCAUUACUGACGCUGAGGUGCGAAAGCGUGGGGAGCAAACAGG